rnacentral:rRNA from 1 species
UACGGGGGGGGCAAGCGUUGUUCGGAAUUACUGGGCGUAAAGGGCUCGUAGGCGGCCAACUAAGUCGGACGUGAAAUCCCUCGGCUUAACCGGGGAACUGCAUCCGAUACUGGAGGGCUUGAGUUUGGGAGAGGGAUGCGGAAUUCCAGGUGUAGCGGUGAAAUGCGUAGAUAUCUGGAGGAACACCCGUGGCUAAGGCGGUUCUCUAGUACGGUACUGACGCUGAGACGCGAAAGCGUGGGGAGCGAACAGG